rnacentral:antisense_RNA from 1 species
AUUCAAAGCUCGCGUCCCUUCAAGUUGAAUCUUCCGGCUUUGUGCGAUUUACCCUCUCAAACUUUCUAGUUUGCAAGUCAGAAUUACUUUGAACGUCCCUUCUUCUGGACUCCCCUCCCCAAAGGGACUGGCGGCAAAGGAGAAUAGAACGCAGAUGGUUAAUAGUUCAAAUAAAAUUUAAAAACCUAUAAACCAAUAUUUUUUUAGAGGAGAAAAGCGUUCACCAAACCGCCACCCGGCAAGCGAGCAUCCGAUUUCCAUCCGGAGGAAAAAAUAUUUUAAAAACCAGACAUAAAAUUCCCUUCGCAAGAAAAGUGGCCUCUAAACUCCCUUGCCAAGGACACUGGGAGGAAGUAGAAAAGCAAAGACCAAGCUCGUACUUUUCAGUCCGCUGCUUGUGUGCCGCGAGGAGAGGCGCAAAGGGUGACACACCAGGAAAGCAGGGGUUAGUUAUAGCAGGCAAGAGUGUGGUUAUCGUUGGACCAGGAUUCAGGAUCUGACCGAGUAGCUGACUCUUAAUCCAGUUUGUGUUGAUCACCAGGAGGAUCUGGACCUCAGUGUUAUCAUAUCUAGAGCUAUAAUCACAUCCCUGUUAAGCCUUCCUGAGAUCACAUCAAAUGUCCUUGAUGGGAAUUGUAAACAAACCUUAAUUCUGGUAUCUAAUGAUAUUCCAGGAAAGGAGUCAAACUAGAGUCAGUGAUAUGCCAACUCCACCUUUGCCUUCCACCAUGUUUGGAAGCUCCCUGAGGCCUCACCAGGAGCAGAUGCUCAUCCCAUGCUUCCUAUAAGCCUGCAGAACUGUGAGCCAUAAUAAACUGUGAAUUAUAAAUUGCCUUUAUAGCAAUGCAAAUGGACCAGUACAGACGGGAUGCUGGGAAGACAGUUGUUCCACCUUCAGUAAAGUCCAUGAAACACAGUUGUGACUAUAUUCUAGGCCAGCAAAGAUGCUUGUAUUCAGAAAGGAGUGGUCUCAGGACCAUAGGAACGUGAAGAAAUAAAAAUAAGAAAAUAAAGAAGGGAUUGUCAAUGAAUCAAUUCAUCAAGGUCAAAGUCUUAGGAAAUUCAUGAGGAAGUCUAGGGGGGCUAUGGAAAUGAAAAUUUUUAAACAAAUAGGUAUGUGGUGC